rnacentral:misc_RNA from 1 species
CAACCCUCAAGCUCUGCUUGGUAUUAGGCCUCACCCAUCAGGGUGGGCUGUAAAAUCAGUGGCGGUGCCAUUCGGCUUCAAGCGUAGUAAUUUUUCUCGCUUUGGAGUACCGGCUGUGUGCCUGCCAGUAACCCCAAUUUUUAUCAAA